AUUGAACGCUGGCGGCAGGCCUAACACAUGCAAGUCGAGCGGAUGAAGGGAGCUUGCUCCUGGAUUCAGCGGCGGACGGGUGAGUAAUGCCUAGGAAUCUGCCUGGUAGUGGGGGAUAACGUCCGGAAACGGGCGCUAAUACCGCAUACGUCCUGAGGGAGAAAGUGGGGGAUCUUCGGACCUCACGCUAUCAGAUGAGCCUAGGUCGGAUUAGCUAGUUGGUGGGGUAAAGGCCUACCAAGGCGACGAUCCGUAACUGGUCUGGGAGGAUGAUCAGUCACACUGGAACCGAGACACGGUCCAGACUCCUACGGGAGGCAGCAGUGGGGAAUAUUGGACAAUGGGCGAAAGCCUGAUCCAGCCAUGCCGCGUGUGUGAAGAAGGUCUUCGGAUUGUAAAGCACUUUAAGUUGGGAGGAAGGGCAGUAAGUUAAUACCUUGCUGUUUUGACGUUACCAACAGAAUAAGCACCGGCUAACUUCGUG
rnacentral:rRNA from 1 species